rnacentral:rRNA from 1 species
CCUACGGGAGGCAGCAGUGGGGAAUAUUGCACAAUGGGGGGAACCCUGAUGCAGCGACGCCGCGUGAGUGAAGAAGUAUUUCGGUAUGUAAAGCUCUAUCAGCAGGGAAGAAAAUGACGGUACCUGACUAAGAAGCCCCGGCUAACUACGUGCCAGCAGCCGCGGUAAUACGUAGGGGGCAAGCGUUAUCCGGAUUUACUGGGUGUAAAGGGAGCGUAGACGGUUAUGCAAGUCUGAAGUGAAAGCCCAAGGCUCAACCAUGGGACUGCUUUGGAAACUGUAAAACUGGAGUGAAGUAGAGGUAGGCGGAAUUCCCGGUGUAGCGGUGAAAUGCGUAGAGAUCGGGAGGAACACCAGUGGCGAAGGCGGCCUACUGGGCUUUAACUGACGCUGAGGCACGAAAGCGUGGGUAGCAAACAGGAUUAGAUACCCCAGUAGUC